rnacentral:rRNA from 1 species
GACGAACGCUGGCGGCGUGCUUAACACAUGCAAGUCGAACGGAGAAUUUUAUUUCGGUAGAAUUCUUAGUGGCGAACGGGUGAGUAACGCGUAGACAACCUGCCUCUUAGAUGGGGACAACAUCGCGAAAGCGGUGCUAAUACCGAAUGAAGUGGAGCUUCCGCAUGGAAGCAUCACCAAAGGUGGCCUCUAUUUAUAAGCUACCACUGAGAGAUGGGUCUGCGUCUGAUUAGCUAGUUGGCGGGGUAAUGGCCCACCAAGGCGACGAUCAGGAGCCUGUCUGAGAGGAUGACCGGCCACAUUGGGACUGAGACACGGCCCAAACUCCUACGGGAGGCAGCAGUGGGGGAUCAUCCGCAAUGGACGAAAGUCUGACGGAGAAACGCCGCGUGAGUGAAGAAGGUUUUCGGAUCGUAAAGCUCUGUUGUUUGAGACGAAUGUGCAGACUUUGAAUAAGGGUUUGUAAUGACGGUAUUAAACGAGAAAGCCACGGCUAACUACGUGCCAGCAGCCGCCGUAA